GUCUUUUCACUUGUUCUUGAAUCUGUUAAGUCGGGCAACUGGUAUAUUAGCAUUCUCGUUGGUAGACAUGGUUGUGAGACAAAGGGAGGAAAGCUGCAAAGCAGGCCCAGGGUUCUACAGGAAGCGACGCAGGGAUCGGCGGCUGUGGGGCGGCUACGCUCAAAGCGUCCACUUCGACUCAGCUCAAAGAAGUGUUGUCCUCCUGAUCUUAAUUAGGGUCAGAAACGUCACCUCCUUCCCACCACCAGAGGCAAAAUCAGUAAAGGCUUGGAGGAUUUAAAACGUGUUAGUCCAGUAGGAGAGACAUAUAUCCAUGAAGGACUAAAGCUAGCGAAUGAACAAAUUCAGAAAGCAGGAGGCUUGAAAACCUCCAGUAUCAUAAUUGCUCUGACAGAUGGCAAGUUGGACGGUCUGGUGCCAUCAUAUGCAGAGAAAGAGGCAAAGAUAUCCAGGUCACUUGGGGCUAGUGUUUAUUGUGUUGGUGUCCUUGAUUUUGAACAAGCACAGCUUGAAAGAAUUGCUGAUUCCAAGGAGCAAGUUUUCCCUGUCAAAGGUGGAUUUCAGGCUCUUAAAGGAAUA
rnacentral:lncRNA from 1 species